UAUACACACACUCUCUACAGCCCCUAGCCACACAUAUUACACCACAAACACAAAUGAAAUUGACCUAUUUAUACAAUACCACACCACACUCUACACACACGCAAUCCCACAAGCAGGCUCCAAACAUAUGCACCAUGCACUUUCCUGGCCCUUUUGUCCUCUGGUAUCCCACUUGUGGAGACACCAGAGACAAUUUAAAAGCAAACACAGCGCAAGCAUGUUAUUAAAUUUGCUUGCGCUGCGCAGAACAAAUUCAGGGCCUUUUUCUAAUGC